CCAGCUGACAGCAGAGCCUAGCCUUGCAUGCUGCUUCCAUCCCAGUCCACCAGAACAGCUGUGCCAAUGCCUGGGGGCUGUCACCUUUCCUCUCUCUGGCCAAAAAAAAGGCACCUCCAGACCCAUCGGCAAGGGGUAGCCACCUCGGAGCAGGAGAGCCUAGAGAAGGGGACAGACAGACACCUAGCUACCUGGAGGAGACCAUCCAGGGCCGGGGAGAACACGCUGCACACCCUCCCCCCACCGCGAACAACCAGACUGACAGCAGGGACAGACUAGCUGCUCUGUCAUCCCUAGUUCAGCUGAGAGGCACCUCCCCCACGGCUGCUGCUGCAGCCCCAGCAGACCGCCUGCCCUGAGAUCCAGCCACCUGGCACGGGGCAGGGCACCCAAGCCCACAGCGCAGUUUCUGUGACGGUGGCACCGACCACUUUCCCCUGCCCCCGAUGUCAUGCCCAGGCUUCUCCACUGUGGGUGUGGGCAGGCAGCCCUCCCUGCCUCUUCUCUGAGCGUCCAAAUUCCAGGUCCCAGUGCACUGAGCAACCUGGCCCCUAAGCCCCGCUGGACAAGACGGAGGACCGGCUCUCGCCUGGAGGGACUCCUUGUCAUGGAUUCAAUUCGACGCCAAUACUUAACCCCUCCCCCAUCAAAGGAAACCCCCAAGGGUGGGAAA